UCAGAUGAAGAUAAACCGUACUGAAAACCGACACAGGUGGUCAGGUAGAGAAUACUCAGGCGCUUGAGAGAACUCGGGUGAAGGAACUAGGCAAAAUAGCACCGUAACUUCGGGAGAAGGUGCGCUGGCGUAGGUUGUAGGAGUAUACCUCCGAAGGCUGAACCAGUCGAAGAUACCAGCUGGCUGCAACUGUUUAUUAAAAACACAGCACUCUGCAAACACGAAAGUGGACGUAUAGGGUGUGAUGCCUGCCCGGUGCUGGAAGGUUAAUUGAUGGUGUAAUCGAAAGAGAAGCUCCUGAUCGAAGCCCCAGUAAACGGCGGCCGUAACUAUAACGGUCCUAAGGUAGCGAAAUUCCUUGUCGGGUAAGUUCCGACCUGCACGAAUGGCAUAAUGAUGGCCAGGCUGUCUCCACCCGAGACUCAGUGAAAUUGAAAUCGCCGUGAAGAUGCGGUGUACCCGCGGCUAGACGGAAAGACCCCGUGAACCUUUACUAUAGCUUGACACUGAACAUUGAAUUUUGAUGUGUAGGAUAGGUGGGAGCCUAAGAAGCAGUCACGCCAGUGAUUGUGGAGGCGUCCUUGAAAUACCACCCUUUAACGUUUGAUGUUCUAACGAAGAUUGCGAAACGCGGUCUCGGACAGUGUCUGGUGGGUAGUUUGACUGGGGCGGUCUCCUCCCAAAGAGUAACGGAGGAGCACGAAGGUUUGCUAAUCACGGUCGGACAUCGUGAGGUUAGUGCAAUGGUAUAAGCAAGCUUAACUGCGAGACAGACAAGUCAAGCAGGUGCGAAAGCAGGUCAUAGUGAUCCGGUGGUUCUGAAUGGAAGGGCCAUCGCUCAACGGAUAAAAGGUACUCCGGGGAUAACAGGCUGAUACCGCCCAAGAGUUCAUAUCGACGGCGGUGUUUGGCACCUCGAUGUCGGCUCAUCACAUCCUGGGGCUGAAGUAGGUCCCAAGGGUAUGGCUGUUCGCCAUUUAAAGUGGUACGCGAGCUGGGUUUAGAACGUCGUGAGACAGUUCGGUCCCUAUCUGCCGUGGGCGUUGGAGAAUUGAGAGGGGCUGCUCCUAGUACGAGAGGACCGGAGUGGACGCAUCACUGGUGUGCCAGUUGUCUCGCCAGAGGCACUGCUGGGUAGCUAAAUGCGGAAGAGAUAAGUGCUGAAAGCAUCUAAGCACGAAACUCGCCUUAAGAUGAGUUCUCCCACACAAUAAGUGUGUAAGGGUUGUUGGAGACGACGACGUAGAUAGGUCUGGUGUGUAAGCGGUGUGAGCCGUUGAGCUAACAGAUACUAAUUGCCCGAGAGGCUUAACUAU
rnacentral:rRNA from 1 species